AGGUAAUAAUUAAACUGGUCGUUGGAUCAGUGAAGAAGCAGCUUUCCGUGCAGGAGAACUCCCGUGUACGGAAAUGGGCAGUCAACGAAAUGGCAAAAAUGAAAACACAACACCGGAAGAAGAAAAUGCAUGGAGAGUUGCUUUUGAAAGUCCAGGCCGUCCCUUCCUUGGAUGAGGAGAAAGAGAGGAUGGCAAUAGAACUAGCCGAGGUAUGUUUCCUAUAUCUAUCAACUGAGGACUGAAUUUCUCUGAUUGUCUAUCAUCCAAGAUACACGCAAACAAAACAAAAAUCAACCCCAAAAUAAA